GUCCACGCCCUAAACGAUGUCAACUAGGUGGUAGGGAGCGCAAGUUCUUGGUACCGCAGCUAACGCGUGAAGUUGACCGCCUGGGGGAGUACGGUCGCAAGAUUAAAAACUCAAAGGAAUUGACGGGGACCCGCACAAGCGGUGGAUGAUGUGGAUUAAUUCGAUGCAACGCGAACAAACCUUACCUACCCUUGACAUGUCCAGGAGGCCACUGAAAGGUGGCUGUGCCCGAAAGGGAAUUGGAACACAGGUGCUAGCAUGGCUGUCGU
rnacentral:rRNA from 1 species